UUGACGUCCCUCCUUUUUUCUUAUCUCCCCUCCUGAAUCCUUUUACUUGCUGGAGCAUGCUGAGGGUUUUUAAAACAUAAUAAUUGAAUCUUUCUUUUCUCCUCACAGAAAAAAGUCGACCCCUUCGUCAGCACGUUGCUAUUGCCGCACCCCUUGAAGACAGAGAUGAACAAAGUUUUAGUUUUCACUGAGGAUGCUGAUCAAGUGAAAGCUGCCCAGGAGAACGGAGCUGUGAUGGCUGGAGGAGCAGAGCUCGUACAGCCGAUCUUAGAUGACGAGAUUUCGGCAGACUUCUACCUGGCAGUGCCGGAGAUACUGCCGAAGCUUUUACCGCUGAAAAACAAACUGAGGAAGAAGUUCCCAAAAAGCAA